rnacentral:lncRNA from 1 species
AUAGGGCCAAUGCCUCAUGAUACCAUGCAAACUAGGCACACAGUCAACUGUAACCAAUAAAGCUGUUGCUUUCUUUUCCUGUCUAUAAGAACUGCUUGCCACAUGGCUGGAUGAAGCUCUCUGAACUUCCCCUGGUUUGAAGUGCUGUCCAAUUUGUGAAAUCAUUCUCUGCUCAAAUAAAGUCUACUAAAUUUAAUUUGUCUAUAGUUUUUCUUAACAAUAGCAUACCAUCCCCCACGAUCUGAGGCACUUCCUUUAUAGCCUUUACAAUAUCAAUUAUGAUGGGAAAAGCAGCAAAGGAGAAAGGACUUACAGAAUGCCUACAUAAAUUGGUUAGGAGUAACAUGUAAACAAGGAAUAACAAACUGCGGAAGGCUGCAGCAGGCCUCUGAGGAGGAGGGCCUCUCCAUGUUCCAGUGCAUGUUCCAGUGUAGGGUGAGCUCGGCUCUGUUACCAGAAACAUUGUGCUCAAGGACGUAAAACCCCUUCGUAGCACUGCGUUGUAGCCAGAGUCCUUGUAAGGCCUCCUGUAGACUCCUCAUAAGGCCCGAGUUCCAUCGGCUGUACACUGAUAAUAAGCUAAAGAUAACCACAUGUUCUUGUUUUGUGAAACUCCCAAACCACCAUUGUUAUCAGUCCUUAGGAUGAUACACCAGCUCUGGCUCAUUGAUUCAUUUCCGGCUCACUGAUUUAUCCCAUCAUCACUCCAUCCCUACCCUAUAGAUUAAAGUGAUUGUAAUCAAUAAAGAGUGUGGAUGAUCAGAGCUCAGGGCCUUCACUAUUGCCUCCAUGUUUGAAGGAAGGAGUCUACCCUUUGGCAUAGUUCACCUUGACACCAGGAACAAGAGUGCUCAUCCUGAGCCCCUUUGUGUCUGUCUACCCCCACGUGCCUGGUACUCCUUCCUUGGGGACGUCAGGUGAGUCAUUCUACCAUUCUUGACCUCAGUGUCCUGCUCUGUACAUAAAGGGGGUUUGGCAGCAUGCCCACUGAGAGUCCCCCACCAGUUCACUUCUGCGGCCCCCACAGGGCCUUGGUCUCCGUGGUUGAGCCCUGGGAUUGGUUGAAAUGAAUUGCAUCUACCUGGGAAGAUGAGGUAGAGUCAGCCAAGUGCAAGAUGGGCAGAGGGCACCAUGACAGCCCAUAAUGCACUGCCGUGUGAUUGUCCAAUUGGGAGGGUCUCACAGAGGGGUUCAAGAGGGGGGUUGUGGGAGCAGGGGUGAGCCGAGGGGAGCCUGAAGGUGGU